GUAUGGAUGUAGCAUGUGAACUUCAGUUUCUAUUAAAAAAAACACGAAGUUGAAAAUAAGAUGUUAAAUAUUUUUAUCUUUCGUCUGUCUGUUUUGCUCACACAUAUUUCUCAAUAUAAUGGUUUGCAUGCUACUGUCAUACAAGUACAGGUUGCGCUAGCUAUACAACAAGGUUAAAUCCACCACUUUCUACAUAGAGAAAGAUUGCACUAAGUAAGGAAUAUGACAGUUGUUUUCCAUUUGUUCGUUGUGUUUGGUCCGAAUUUUGAAUUUUCCCAAGAGUUCAGUAGUUUUGUUAUUUUACUUUGGCAUGGGUAUCCCUGCAAUCAUUUAAAUUUUUGUUUAAAUAUAUUGAUAGGAAAUGAAAAUGGAGUUAUUAUACAUGCAUAGCUUUGUAAGACUUUGGAAAUAAUUAGUGAUAUAUUACAUUAUAAAAUGCAUUAUUUUAAACUAAAUAAUUACAAUUACCGACGUUACAUCCCAGCUGCUUUGUUCUAACAGGGGUGAUCUGAGCCGGAUCACCCCUACCAGAUCACCCCAGUUUGAGUUUCUUUGUUAUGCAUGCUUUCCUUUGUUCUGUAACAUUUUAGCGGUAAUGUCAAAUCCACUAUAAAACUUAUAAUUAAUUAUACGGAAAAGACUA
rnacentral:lncRNA from 1 species